rnacentral:antisense_RNA from 1 species
AUGUCGGUUACUCCGUAGUUUCUGACAAAUUAGAAGCCUCGACUGUUACCGCAGUUGGGGCUUCGCU